AGCGAACGCUGGCGGCAGGCUUAACACAUGCCAGUCGAGCGGGCACUUCGGUGUCAGCGGCAGACGGGUGAGUAACACGUGGGAACGUACCCUUCGGUUCGGAAUAACGCUGGGAAACUAGCGCUAAUACCGGAUACGCCCUUUUGGGGAAAGGUUUACUGCCGAAGGAUCGGCCCGCGUCUGAUUAGCUAGUUGGUGGGGUAAUGGCCUACCAAGGCGACGAUCAGUAGCUGGUCUGAGAGGAUGAUCAGCCACACUGGGACUGAGACACGGCCCAGGCUCCUACGGGAGGCAGCAGUGGGGAAUAUUGGACAAUGGGCGCAAGCCUGAUCCAGCCAUGCCGCGUGAGUGAUGAAGGCCUUAGGGUUGUAAAGCUCUUUUGUCCGGGACGAUAAUGACGGUACCGGAAGAAUAAGCCCCGGCUAACUUCGU
rnacentral:rRNA from 1 species